rnacentral:rRNA from 1 species
GAUGAACGCUAGCGGCAGGCUUAAUACAUGCAAGUCGAGGGGCAGCAGGACUGUAGCAAUACAGUUGCUGGCGACCGGCAAACGGGUGCGGAACACGUACGCAACCUACCCAAAACUGGGGGAUAGCCCGGGGAAACCCGGAUUAAUACCUCGUAACCUUUUUAAGUGGCAUCACUUGAUAAGUAUAGCUCCGGCGGUUUUGGAUGGGCGUGCGCCUGAUUAGGUAGUUGGUGCGGGUAACGGCCCACCAAGCCUGCGAUCAGUAACUGGUGUGAGAGCACGACCAGUCACACGGGCACUGAGACACGGGCCCGACUCCUACGGGAGGCAGCAGUAAGGAAUAUUGGUCAAUGGACGCAAGUCUGAACCAGCCAUGCCGCGUGAAGGAUGAAGGUCCUCUGGAUUGUAAACCUCUUUUAUGGGGGACGAAACCCGGAUAUUCUUAUCCGAUUGACGGUACCUCAGGAAUAAGCACCGGCUAACUCCGU